CUUUGCGACACUCCAAGAGGACGUGGAGGAUGGUCAGCCUCUCACCACAUCGACCACAGCUUGGCGGUUCAUUUCCAGUUUGGCGGCCUCGACACCUAAGUGAACUAUGACCGAAACGCUGGCAUUUGAAGCAACGCAGGGGAUUUGGAACAUAUGGGCGAACACGGAACUUGAUAUACCCGGCCUCGAUGGACUCGGGCAGAACACUUGUGCCAAAAACAUCCUGAUUGCCAAUUCAGCUCAUUUAGAACUGGUAUAUUUACUUUCUUGAACGCAUCGGUUUUGCCUUUACUCUACAUGUUGGUCACGUAUGCAUCUGAGCCAUUAUGCUAGGACCCCUUCCCAGCACCUGGCGAGCCUCGCUGCAGAAAGGCCCUGCUCGACAUUUAGCGCCACUGUCAGUGCACAUUGUGCGUCGUUUACUUCAGGGUAUGCACCUGCACAGCCAAGCCAGUGUUUCCUCCAUGGUGUUUGAGCCGUCCACAAGUACACAUAAUGAUUCCAGGACUACAAAAGAAGACAGAUCUACCGGCCCCUGCUCUAAAACAGCUGAGCUUACUUCUUUUGCAUGAAAAGUACAGCAACCACGUGCGCAUCUAUACCGAUGGAUCAACUAUGUCGUCCAGUUCUGGUGGUGCGGUGGUUAUACCAACGCUAGGAAUAACACUGCAAUUCAAGACGUCGCAUGUCAUGACCUCAACGGCGGCAGAGCUAACGGCUCUGCGUCAUGCACUGGAAUUCAUUGAUUCUGAAAGACCUAGAAAAUGGGCUGUGUUCUCUGACUCAAAACUAGCAUUACAGUGCACACAGACAGUUCUCCGAUGUGGAUGUCAUGGACAGUUGACAUACGAAAUCGUGAAACUUCACCAUCACGUCCAACAAAAAGGUCACGAGGUUGUUUUUCAGUGGGUACCUGGUCAUUGUGGAAUCAGUGGCAAUGAUUCCGCCAAAACGCUGCUCGCACAGCACAUCAAGAGGAGCGCAGCAUUCCAAUUCCGCUUUCGAGGACAGACACCGCAAGGCAGCUUCGACACCUGGCACACUGCGCCCCUGGCUCACUGGCACCUGGCUCACUGACCGAGUGGAACUCGCCAAACUUAAGACUUACAUGACUGCAUCGAUUAAACCCCUCACUGCAGCUCCGACUUCCACUCGGACUUCCUUGACGUGAAGCUACGCUUCUCUGUCGCCUUUAGUUAUGAGUUGCCUUCCCAAAAUCAUACUCUACAUUAAUUGGAGUGACCGACAGUGCAGCAUGCAAGGUCUGCGGCACCGAAGAAAAUGUUGACCACCUGCUGUGCCACUGUCCACGAUAUGCCCCUUCUCACAAUAAACGUUCAUUCCUCCUCCUCCUUU